UUGACCUCAAAUCAGGUAGGACUACCCGCUGAACUUAAGCAUAUCAAUAAGCGGAGGAAAAGAAACUAACAAGGAUUCCCUUAGUAACUGCGAGUGAAGAGGGAAAAGCUCAAAUUUAAAAUCUGGCAGUGUUUUGCUGUCCGAGUUGUAACCUAGAGAAGUGUAGCCUGUGCUGGACCGUGUACAAGUCUCCUGGAAUGGAGCAUCGCAGAGGGUGAGAAUCCCGUCUUUGACAUGGACUACCAGUGCAUUGUGGUUGCGCUCUCAACGAGUCGAGUUGUUUGGGAAUGCAGCUCUAAAUGGGUGGUAAAUUCCAUCUAAAGCUAAAUAUUGGCGAGAGACCGAUAGCGAACAAGUACCGUGAGGGAAAGAUGAAAAGAACUUUGGAAAGAGAGUUAAACAGUAUGUGAAAUUGUUGAAAGGGAAACGUUUGAAGUCAGUCGCGUUGGCUGGGGAUCAACCUGACCAUUUGGUUGGGUGUACUUCCUGGUUGAUGGGUCAACAUCAGUUUUGACUGCCAGAAAAAGGCAGAGGGAAUGUGGCACCUUUUAGGUGUGUUAUAGCUCUCUGUCAUAU
rnacentral:rRNA from 1 species